CCCGCAUAAAUCAUGUAAAGUGUACCUUCUCUUUUGUCUUCCCGUAAGAGGUGUGCUUGCAGGAAAUGAUCUAGAGUAAGCUCUUCCCUCUCGGUUAAAAUGUAAUUAAUUAAGCACCAUCUAGCAGAUCCAUAUUCCUAGCAAUUCUAGUGACCCAAGAUGUGAUCUCCACAUCACCAUCACGUGUAAAAUUUUUAGACCAAUAUUCUACCAUGGACCUAGCAGAGGACACUCUAAUCCUAUUAACCGCAGUAUAAAGCAAUUGCAUUUCCUCUUUUCUAACAGGCCUAAUAUCAACUCUAGGAUAAAAAGUGAGGCCUAAAAUUCAGUGUAAAAACUGCAAGGUCGGAUUCUGAAUGUUGC
rnacentral:lncRNA from 1 species